rnacentral:rRNA from 1 species
UAGGGAAUCUUCGGCAAUGGGGGGAACCCUGACCGAGCAACGCCGCGUGAGUGAAGAAGGUUUUCGGAUCGUAAAGCUCUGUUGUUAAGGAAGAACGAGUGUGAGAAUGGAAAGUUCAUACUGUGACGGUACUUAACCAGAAAGGGACGGCUAACUACGUGCCAGCAGCCGCGGUAAUACGUAGGUCCCGAGCGUUGUCCGGAUUUAUUGGGCGUAAAGCGAGCGCAGGCGGUUAGAUAAGUCUGAAGUUAAAGGCAGUGGCUCAACCAUUGUAGGCUUUGGAAACUGUUUAACUUGAGUGCAGAAGGGGAGUGUGGAAUUCCAUGUGUAGCGGUGAAAUGCGUAGAUAUAUGGAGGAACACCGGUGGCGAAAGCGGCUCUCUGGUCUGUAACUGACGCUGAGGCUCGAAAGCGUGGGGAGCGAACAGG